CCUCUAUGUAAAUGCUAACAAUUUAAAAAUGACUUUUUUUCCACUUACAAUAUAAACAAAUUUAUUUAUUUAAUGUAAGUUAUUGUAUUAAUAAACCUAAAUAGAUGUUGUUUCAAUGGUCUUCUUUUUUCAACAUAUGGAGUGUAUUGCACAUAAAAUAUUAUUUCAUAUUUGACAGGAAAAUGAGACCCAGAAGAGUUUGUCCUGAAAAGGAAGCUUUGCACUUCAUUGCUUCUGGGCAAGAUAAAGGCUUGUUUCAGAAAAAAAUCAUCAAUCAGGAGAAAGGUUAUGGAGUGUUUGCCACUAAAAACAUUGAGCAAGGAGAAUUCCUGCUGGAGUAUGUUGGAAGACACAUCACUGGAUCUGAAGGAGAGGCACUGAGCUGACGAUGCAGCAUUUCUGUACUUCUACUGUUUUCAGGGACAAUCUUUCUGUGUCGAUGGCAGUAAAGACAAGCAAGACUUGGAAGAUUCAUAAAUGAUGAUCACAUCAAGCCAAACAGCAACAUUAAAAUAAUAUUGGAUGAGCAGAAAAGGCCACAUCUGUGUGCAUUUUCAAAGUCAAAUAUCAGUGCAGGAGAAGAAAUUAUGUAUGACUGCAGAGACCCUGACUGCCCAUGGAGACAGAAAACCAUUACCUCCUCAUGCAGGGAGCUCCAGGAAAAGGCGGUAAAUCAAAGACCGAAUCCCGCUGGAAGAGUUCAUUAGAAAACCUUGAAUCUCAGCCUGGCGUUACGAAAAUUGGACAACUUGUUUUUAACACAGCAACAAAGGUUGCAAAUGGAUGCAAUGCUGCUGAAAUUUUCCCAGGAGGGCUACGAAGUUGCAGUGAAAAGAGUUGCAAAGCAUAUUUCUGAAAAUGAGAUUAAAAUGGCACAUGUCCUAUGUUCAGAAAAGUUAAAACCAGAACAUCUUUUACAACCAAUUGCAGUGUUGGAAGAUAGUUACUUUGCCUAUUUUGUCUCCCCUCUUUGUGAAUACAGUCUGGUGGAGGUAAUUGAAAACAAGAACUUUCGUGAGAGAGAAAGUUUGACUGAGGCUCGAAGACUGGGGAUCUGCCAGGAGCUACUGCAAGGACUACAUUAAGUCCAUUCACGCGGGAUUUUGCACAGAGACCUGAAGCCUGAAAACAUUUUGUUUGAUAUCAGCAACAAACUGUUUAUCGCAGAUUUUGGAGCAAACAGAAAACUGGAUUUGGCACAGCCAACGUUGCUGUCUCAAAUGGCUGGAUCUUUUUCUUGGUCAAGUUAUGAGGAUGUUGGAGGCAUACAAUACAAGUACAAGAAAGAGUCAGAUAUCCAGGAAAUAGAACCACAGAUCUCCCUUUCCCUUGAUAUGUCAGAGGAAGAAGAUGAUGAUGAUGAUGAACCAACAGAAGUAGAUGAUGAAGUAACCAAGAAAGUCAUCAGAAAAAAGCAGUUAAGACUGGGAUGAAAAAGGAUGAAAAUGUCCUUGAAUGCAGUUUGAAGGGUAUCCAAGUGAAAAUGUCCUCAAACACCGCACACAAACAUGUCUACGACAAGAAAAAUUACUGCUUCUAUUGUCAGAAGCCUUUCGGAAAAGUUUCAAGACACCUGAUGCGAAAACAUCAAGAUGAAGUUGACGUUGCAAAGGCACUUGCACACAAGCAAGGAUCCACAAUGCGCAGCCUUCUUCUGAGCAAAAUAUGGAAUGAGGGAAACUACCGAAAUAACUGUUCAGGCCUAUCCUCUGGUUAAGGACAAAUAGUACCAAAAAAACAAACAACCUACAUGUCAUCAGCAACAGACCAUAUACCAUGCCAGUUUUGUUUGGCUAUGGGGGGGGCUCUUUUUGUGAGCUUAUGAGUUUUUUUUCUGUUAUAAACUGUCUUGACAGUUUAUUAUGUAAAAAACCAUUAGUUGUGCUUUUUACUGUUUUAUAUUUGUGACUGUAGGCAGGUGUUAUGUGACAGCUAUUGCUAUUACAAGCAGUUAGGUAGAAUACAAAACAUUAGUGAAAUGUAAUGCUUUUCUUUUUCCUUAAAAAAAUACUUAUUCCAUCUGCUUCUAAAUAGCAUUUAAAUAGAUAAAGUUUGAAAAUGGUUGGAAUAUGCUCUGAAAUUGAACCUUAGUAUAUUAUGACAAAAAUAUUGAAUCCAGUUAUGUUUGAAGAUACUGAUUCUGUAAGUAACCCAUCAAAUAUACCAUCUCAUCUCAAACUAUGUUGAAGUUUACAUUUUUGAUUUCCCUCAAAAAACACCUCAGACUAAUGUCAAUCAGCCAACUUGCAUUUACAGUCGAGAAAGGUUAUAAAAACACCAUCUUAGGACUUUGUAAUGUCCAGGAUUAUUGAAUUGAACAUGACUCAUCUCUUAGUUGAAUCAUUGAUCAGGCAUAUAUCCUCUUCUGUUCUUAUGCACACAUGCAGGAGUGUGAACAUCGCUCCAUGCUAUCUAAGAGGGAGUCUAUGUCAUUCUAUGCCAUCAAAGAGGGGACUCUUAUCAUUCAGUACCAUCCAACAGUGGACUUUUUUUCCUUCUUCAUUUAAUUCUAACAGACAUUUU